UGGUCGCGUGGCGAAACGGUAGAGCGGCCGGCCUAAACCCGGUGUCCUUUGCGGGUUCGAGUCCCGCCGCGACCAU
rnacentral:tRNA from 1 species